rnacentral:rRNA from 1 species
GACGAAGGAUGCAAGCGUUAUCCGGAUUCAUUGGGUUUAAAGGGAGCGUAGGUGGCCUUAUAAGUCAGUGGUGAAAUCUCUGGGCUUAACCCAGAAAUUGCCAUUGAUACUGUAGGGCUUGAGUACAGUUGCUGUGGGCGGAAUAUGACAUGUAGUGGUGAAAUACAUAGAGAUGUCAUAGAACACCGAUUGCGAAGGCAGUUCUCUGGGCCGUAACUGACGCUGAGGAGCGAAAAGCGUGGGGGAGCGAACAGG